AGGUGCGCUUCACACGGCCCCGGCCCGGCGCGCGCCGGGGGCGGGGCUCCCCUGCGGGCCGCGGGGGCGGGGCCCGGCCCKGCCUGAGGGGCGCUGUGACGUCACGCGUCCUGAGCUGGGGUUCGGGAUAGGAUUUGCGCCUUUUUUGCAGAGCUGGCUUCUUACUUUGCCGAGUGUGUUCCAGAGAAUCUACAAACAUGGCAGCAAGAGAGGGAGUGUCAAAGAAUAUYCCUUGAGCAGAGCAUGGAGAGAAAACAAGCAGGCCUAGCUCUUUGCAGCUGGAGAGGUGUAGCUGUGUGUGGGUCCACAAAAGCGAAAGGUGUCGGUUUUCCCAAGCUGAAGAUGCGGAGAAACAGCUCGGAAUGCUGGAGUACAGCCCACUAGAAUGGAUCUGCUUUCACUGCUACCGAAGCCAUUCAGUGACAAUUUGAUCCCUGGACAUCCUGCUCGAUUCCAUGGUCUGUGGGAACGUUCCUGUCGACAAUGAUGAGGACAUCAUCCAGGGCUGGCUGUUCUUCCCACYGCGGGUGUCUCAGCAUGGGUAUGUGGUUUCAUGGCAUGAAGCAAAUAAAGUGUUGGGAGAGUGCAGGUGGCACACAGGCAUCCCGCUCUUGCAGCUAUGGGGCAGGUGGCACAUAUCCCUUCAUCCUGAUCUUCUCCAAAAUGGAAAAUUUACUUUGGUGCAGCUCUGAGCAGCCCCAGCGUGGUCUGAGCCCUGGGGACACUGGGAGAGRGGGAAACAGGAGGUUUCUCCCUCUGACCAGCAGUUUCUGGUUUCUCUCCUUCUCCCAGGAGUGCCAGCACCUCAUCAAACCACAACAUCAUCACUCAGCCUAUGAGUUUGAAGGAAGGGAAGAGGAAACUUUUUAUAAAGGAAGAAACACUUUAUUCACUGUCAAAAACAAACUUAGUGGUUUYGGUCCCCUUCCUCCAAAGUAAUCUUUUUGUGUCCUUACUCACCAGCUUUAUUGCAUAGGGUGGGCUUAGGCARCCCAAAGAAUGAAACAACAGCCCCUGUUUCAAACUGCAGCAGCCACUCCAGUGGCAUGUGUGAAUGUGAAAAGCAAGUGGGUUGUAGGGAGAGAGAUCUUGCCCCCUGUGAAAGCUGUGAGGAAAUCAGAAGAGGCAAAAUGCCAUUUCAGCUCAACCCCUGCCCAAAUUCCUCAUCUUCCACCUGUAGGCCUCUGCAAAAUAGCCAGGCAGAGCUGGACUCUAGCAAGGUUCAGUUUGGAGUGCUUUGUGCCCCUGGACAUAAAAAGUGAUCAAAUAAAUUCUGUUGAUUGGAAAAUGGAUACUGAAGGAAGAGGGGAUCUUGGAAGAUGAAGAAGUCUUCUCUUGCCUCUCCUUUCUGUCUCCAGGAGCUCCUCAUAAAGAGAAAUGUCUACACUGGGUUUACUCCUGACACCUCCCCACUCAGCCCUUCACUCACCYCAGCUUGACCCAUUCUGUGGACUUCAUUAACUGAACCAGGAGGAAUCCCAGGAUCAGUCAACACAGACCACAGGGAGAUGAACCCUGCAUAGUGAGGGAAGAAGGUUACAAAUCUUACUUCAGGGGUAGAAUUUGAGAGUUGUGUCUUUCAGGAAUUUAUUUUUUACUCUAGCAAACAACAGAACACUAAACAUAGGCUGUGAAUCUUAAACAAAAAAGCAGGAGGCCUGAGAGCACAUGGAUCAAGUAAACCAUAGGCCCUUGACCACAGGAUACCCUGUAAGUCACAAACUCCUGGCAAUCCAUGGCAAACACUAAAGGCUAAACUAUCAACCCUAAGCAAUAACCACUCAAGCUGGGUGAAAACCUAGAAAUGCCGCUACUGGGGUUUUACUAUUUUUUUGGGGCAAUAAAGAACACAACAGAAAAUAGUGGGUUCUGGCUGCAAGAUAGUAUUCCUGAGAAGUUUUCUAUACUAUUACACCUAGACUCUGUCAACACCCCAUGCUGGGGGUACUGGACCUCCGGCACAGCAGAGGAGAUAUGCAGAUUACCACAGUGGAGAAAACCCACCUGGGGUGCAGGGKCCACACUUGCCACAGGGACCCAAAGAGAUGGAAACUCAGAGGUGGCAUCUCCCACUUUUAGGAAGAAGUUUGAUGGUCAUCUAUAUUUAUGUCUGAUUUUUAUUAARCAUUAUAUCUGCCCAGCAGUCCAGCCCUUUCACACUGUUUAAGUGCUGUAGUCACAUGAAAUGUCUGUUCUGCUGGCUGCAGAGGGGACAAGGCAUGAUUGCUAAAAAUCAGGAAAGUGGUCUGUAUUUUUCAGAUACGACACAACUUCCCCUCUAGGCUAUCUUUGAUAUUCUUGUGCAUAUAAAACUUCUGUAAUUUCAGAAGUGCUUACAACUAAUUAUAUUAUUAACAUUCCCGACAUCUGUAUUAAACAUUAAUUAAUUUAUCUCACAGCAUUCCACAGUGUACACCAUUAUUAUCAUCCUGUAAGGCUUAGGCUGUACCAUAUGCAUAUGUACACACUUACCUUCCAUUUUAAGACAUGAAUUUAUACAUCAGCAUAAUGGCAACGUUUUGCAAGCACUCCAUAAGCAGUCACCAUUCCCAUAAAUGUUGUAUUAAUGAAUGUUCUAUUUCCUGAAUGUGUUUGAAAAUUGCAUCCUGAAUGUGAUUCCAAUGCUACACACGUUCUAUUGGAAAAACAAUUACACCCUUGUUGAAAAAUGUGAAUUUCAGGAUUCCAAAGCAAAAAUCCUGAGACAGAAGAAAGACCAUCUCCAGGAUGCCUUUCGCUAUGUUUGACACGAACUGAUAGGAAGUUCUUAUUUCAAAAACCUCAAGAAAUACUUCGUUUACGACAUUAGAGAAUACUUCAAGAAGACAUUUUAAGUAAGGCAGUUAAGUGGCUUAAUGCUACAGUUGUAACCCAAGCUGUUCUCAUUUAUUACUGCCAUUGUGAGUGAUACAGUUUGCACUCUCUGUAGCAUUUCGGAUUCACAACAGUGUAAUUGUUAACUAGGACUUUGAUUCAACUAUUUUUAUAAUGCACACGUAAAAGAUGCAAAAUGGCAAAUCAGAGAUAAUUAUAAUUAAUUGCACCAGCAAGUACUCAGCAUCCGUAGCCGAAGAAAGUCAGCAUCUUGCAGCAACGUGCUUAGAACAAAACAGGUAAAAAUAAAUGUAAAUAAGAGAUUAGAUUUUGGAUGAAUGUAAUAGAGGAAAUUCUCAGAAAUGACAAGACAAUAGUGCCAUCUUGAGGCUACUAGAGAAUUAAAGAGGAAAGCCACAGACAGUGCUCUCAAGGCAUUUUACUUUUAAAGGGAGAAAUGAGUGCUCCAAGGGGAAAACAACCUCUCAAGCCAUUUUCUUCCCUUGGUCUUGUUAAAAGCAAAGCAUUUGUAAACACCCUUUCACAAGAUGAUUAGAGGUAUGGAGCACCUCUUCUAUGAGGAAAGGUUAAGAGAGCUGGGAUUGUUCACUAAAAGAKAAGGCCUUGGGGUGAUUUAAUAGUGGCCUUCCCUCCCUGAAGGGAGCCUACAAGAAAGAUGCCAGUCUGUUUACAAGAGCAUGUAGUGACAAGGGGCAAUGGUUUUUACUGAGAGUAGGGUUAGAUAAGUUUCUAGGAAAAAAUUCUUUGCUGUGAGGGUGGYGAGGCACAGGAACAGGUUGCCCAGAGGGGAUGUGAAUGUUUCCUGGAUGGCCCCUGGCAGUGUUCAAGGCCAGGCUGGACAGAGCUUUGAGCAACCAGGUCUAGUGAAAAGUGUCCCUGCCCAUGACAGUGAGGUUGAAACCAGAUGAUCUGUAAUGUCRCCUCCAACCCAAACCAUUCUGUGAUUCCAUGAAUAUGGUCUUUCAUUAAUCGUUACUAAUUUAUUUUCUUGGCUGCUUGGUUUCCUCCKUUCGCUGAUACCUGUAUUUUACAGAUGACAAAACGUUCUUCAUCCUGCAUAUUUCUUCAGAUUGUACUAACACCACUGCAUAUUCUAAACCAUAAAGAUCCACAUGAAGGCCAAUGAAACUGCAUUCGGGUGAGGCACAAACCAGAAAAAUCUGAAUGUGCAAGCGCAGUGACAAAGCAGGAAUUCCACAUACUGUGUGAGAAGCUUCAGAACUACAAAAGAAUGCCGAGGAAGGCUGCACUGAUCCACUUGGCACAGCUACUCUGGCUGUGUGUAUAUACCUGCCAGGCAUUUCCACCACACCUAGUGCUGGGGAACGACCACCAGAAUGUUGGUAGUUUUAGAUUAGCAAACAAAAAUAGUCMUGUCUCAUUCUUUUAAGCAAAGGCUGUGGUGAAAACAGUAACCACUAUACAAUCAAAUGUUAAGUUCUGUUGGGUGGUUAAGAGUCUGCUAGAGCAGAAUUCUUUGSUUACAUAACUAUUUGUCUAUCAGCAAAUCAUGGAAUGGUUUGGGUUGGAAAGGACCCUUAAGAUCAUCUACAAUAUCAAAUUAAAUUGAUGUUUCAAACAAGAUUCUCUCUUAUGAAGUAAAAACCAUCUAGAAUAUCUCCUCAGACAACAUUCAUAACCCAAUAAGGAAACAAAUGUUUUGAAAACAAGCUGUUUUCUAAGAAUGGAUGUUUUAUAGCAUUUCAAUCCAGAGAGAAAAAAAAAUCUUUAUAUAAAACAUAUGCCAGACAUUACAGUUUCAAAGGAGAUUUUUCAAUUCAUGAGUCUGAGUGCAUGAAACUUACACCACCUUAAAUGAACAACUCCUGCUCCAGCAGAGAAUUGCUAAGGGUAAGAAGGAGAUAUCUCAUAAGCUUCAAGAAAAUAAGGAUUUACUAUUUAAAGGACAACUGCCCCGCCCCAAAACACAGAUGCUAAUACUCUGGAUGGUGUCCCAUUCUGGACAGCAGUCUCAGGGGACCAGUUUAUAACACAGAUUCAAGGCAAAGCAAAGGUGUUAUUUCAAAUGCCAUGCCCUGAUACAGGCCUUGCAGCAGCUGAUGGACAAGGCAUUCAGGCAGAAAGAAAUAUAAACUCAUAAAUCAUGUUAUUCUGACCCACCCCACUCAUUAGCUAAAACAUUACAUUAAAAGUAGCCUGUUUUGAUAGGUCACUUGCUUAGUAGGAAGAGACAGCAUAAAAUUKUAGCACUCUUGAUAAAAAAUAUUUACAAGUGCAGAAAAGAAGCCACUGUUUUCCCACAUAUACAGAAUAUCAGUACUUUCUUUAUCAACAAAUGUGCAUUACAUACARCAUCAUUUAAACCUACAGACUGUGAAUCUCUGUACAUUUUUUACCUGAAAUGUUUUUCACAUCAGAUCCUAAAACAAAUCAU